CUGUGCUCACUGCCAUGAACUACGCAAUGGAUGCAGCCCUUCAGGAAGUCUUUAAGAAGAUUUUACAAAGCUGCUUUGAGAAUGUUGUUACUUCAUCGGUGAAGCAGAGCAGUAAACUCGAUCAGACUCUUGUGGAGUUUAUCAGCUCAGGCGUUCCAAAAGCUGCAUUGAAGAAAGAUAAUUUCAAGAUUGACCAGAACUAUGAGAAGCAAAUAAAAAAAACAGUUAGUAUGCUCUGCAAAGAGAUAAUUCCUGACCUCAUACUGGACUGUACCACAGCACGGGAUGUUAUCAGCAAACUCUCUGAGGUGUGUGAAAAAGCAGAAGAGCUUAUGAAUAAAGCCAAACUGUCAGGAGUGUACGAAAUGACAAAGCUGGCUCUGAAAGUAGCUGAGUGCUCAGCAGGUCUUACUCAAAUAUUGGGUGCCAUACCAACAGAAGAGGAUACAACUUCUGUCACAAAAAUCCCAGUAAAUACAGCAUAACUGGAGGAAGUAUAAAGAAGACCGAUGUUGCUCUGCAGAAAUACUUACAGAGUGUUAAAUUCAUCAGAAGUGGUGAACGAAUCCUCAUCAAAAUGUACCAUCUUGGAUUUGUUGGUGAAUAUAAAAGUGUUGUAAGUGCUCGGAGGUCCAGUAAGAACACCACAGGGACACUUAACACAAGCCACAUUCCACCGAAGGACUCCAUCAGACUUGCUGAGUCUUUCAUAGAUAACCCAAACUCAGUGAGUGAGCUUAAAAAUAAAAACCUGCCGCUUUAUAAACUAAUCAACAGCAUGAAGACUAACAAUAAUGGAUGGAACCUGAUUGCCAUGGAGGUUCUGGGACAAGAUCACAGACGAGCUUUAACUACGGGCCCAAGCAGCCACUCACAGACAGCCAGGAAACUUCUAGCAGACACCAUAAUUAGUGGAGACGUGGAGCUUCUGCUGAAACGCUGCAUGAUUCUACAUCACCCGCUCACCUCACAAAAGCUGAGAGAAGCUCUAGGUGAAAGCAUUCCCUCUCAGUGCCACGUUUUGUCCGAUGAAGGUAUCCGAGGCUACUACAAAGCAGGAUACAGAAACCUGGUGUCAGAGUACAGUCGCAUGGGAAUCCUGGAUCAGAACCAGUGUGAGCGUCUGGACGAGUGGGUGACUCAGGACCAGCACGAGGACACUAACACUGCAGAGUACAGCCAGGUUCUGCAGGGGUUAAAGUGUUAGUGAACAAGUUCUCUUCAGCGCCUUAUGAUAAAUAUGAUUGUGAUAAAGACGAUGACUACAGAAAGCAGGAAUUUAUUAAUCUCUGAAAUUGCAUUCACGGCAAAAAAAAAUAAAAAUAAUAAUAAUAGCA
ensembl:lncRNA